UACGAAGGGGGCUAGCGUUGCUCGGAAUCACUGGGCGUAAAGCGCACGUAGGCGGAUUGUUAAGUCAGGGGUGAAAUCCUGGAGCUCAACUCCAGAACUGCCUUUGAUACUGGCGAUCUUGAGUCCGGGAGAGGUGAGUGGAACUGCGAGUGUAGAGGUGAAAUUCGUAGAUAUUCGGAAGAACACCAGUGGCGAAGGCGGCUCACUGGUCCGGUACUGACGCUGAGGCGCGAAAGCGUGGGGAGCAAACAGG
rnacentral:rRNA from 1 species